CUGCUGCUUCCGCCGCUGCUAAAAACUAGAGGAAGGAGAUUUAACCCGUAAGAAAAAAUAAUCCGAGUUUCAAUGCCGCGGGGUCGACCCCCUAAAACACGGGGAGGACCUGAGCCAGGUCAAAAAAACCCAGUUGCUUACCAUUGCUGGACAGUGCCUCCAGGUUUUUAUUCCACCCCAAAACCAGACGUCACGGAUGCAGCAGCUAGAAGGCAUGUUUGAGACUGACACUGAUGGAGUUUUAACGGCAAACAGUGAGAAUAAUAUUUAUGCCUAUCAUGGUCCAACCCACAAGCGUGAUAUCUGUUUGCUCUCCCUUCCUAAAGGAACUCAGUACCAGCGACACAUGCAGAACCAUAAGUGAAAUCAUAAGGUUGAUCCUAGCCUUUUACAGCAAACUCUUCAGCAUACCAGUAUAAUGCCCCAGCAGAUUCCUGGAGAUCCCAAUGCAGACCAGCCAAGCAGCAGCCUGCAAACCAGUGACAACUCUAUGCCAGCUAAUGAUGUAAUUCAGCCUAUAGCAAGCCUGUCUCUACAGCCUGCAACAUCCUCGCCCUCCAGUCUGACAAUAAGGCCUAUGGUUGAGCAGGAGUCAGUGUUGAGCCCCAGCAGUUCACUGCUUGAGUCGAAAUGGAAGCAGCUUUGUGGAGGAAUAACAAGUCACAAUUGGAUAAUUAUUUGCAUUGUGCCUUUUUUCCUGUUCAGCUGGCCAAGAUCUUUCUCAGGUGAUGGCUUCCCAAUGCUUGGUGCCUUCUUCUAAUGGACAACAUGAGAUCACAUUGACCAUUAAUAAUUCCAAUGUCGGCCACGUACUGGCUCAUGCUACAGGUUCCACGCCCACAACCUCCACUGGAUCACCACAGGAAAUAACACUUUCAUUCUUUUUCCUCAAAAUAGCAUAAUAAAAAAUAAAAUAGCACCAACUCUACAGUAACAUGCCAUGUCUACUCUGUUAGAUAUAAUGCAGCUUUGACCUUCAGGAAACAAUGAUCUUAAUGGGAAUCUGAGACUGAACACACUAGCAAUCACAAAUCAGGCACUCGAGACCACUUUAUCAUUAAGCAAUGAUCAAAUACUGUCACAAGUCAAUACUUUGACAACUACCUCAGUCAAUUUAGUUUAUCUAUUGCUAGCUAUUUUUUUGUUUCUAAACUAUAUAUUUAAGUAAAAUUCACAUUA